GACGAACGCUGGCGGCGUGCUUAACACAUGCAAGUCGAACGAGAAUCUACUGAAAGAGUUUUCGGACAAUGGAUGUAGAGGAAAGUGGCGGACGGGUGAGUAACGCGUGAGGAACCUGCCUUGAAGAGGGGGACAACAGUUGGAAACGACUGCUAAUACCGCAUAAGCCCACGGCUCGGCAUCGAGCAGAGGGAAAGGAGUGAUCCGCUUUGAGAUGGCCUCGCGUCCGAUUAGCUAGUUGGUGAGGUAAUGGCCCACCAAGGCAACGAUCGGUAGCCGGACUGAGAGGUUGAACGGCCACAUUGGGACUGAGACACGGCCCAGACUCCUACGGGAGGCAGCAGUGGGGAAUAUUGCACAAUGGGGGAAACCCUGAUGCAGCGACGCCGCGUGGAGGAAGAAGGUCUUCGGAUUGUAAACUCCUGUUGUUGAGGAAGAUAAUGACGGUACUCAACAAGGAAGUGACGGCUAACUACGUG
rnacentral:rRNA from 1 species